rnacentral:rRNA from 1 species
UGUCUAUUAAUUGUAGACCAGUAUGAAAGGCAAAAUGAGGGUUUGACUGUCUCUUAUAAUAAAUCAAUUAAACUGAUCUCCCAGUAAAAAAGGUGGCAUACCCACAUAAGACCAGAAGACCCUGUGAAGCUUAAACUAAACUAUUAAACCCUAUAAUAGCUACUUUCGGUUGGGGCGACCUUGGAAAAAAAAAGAACUUCCAAAUACAAUGACUUUAACUCAUACACCCAGGCACACAAGCCCAUUAAUGACCCAGCAUAGCUGAUAACUGAACCAAGUUACUCCAGGGAUAACAGCGCUAUCUUCUUCAGGAGUCCAUAUCAAAAAGAAGGUUUACGACCUCGAUGUUGGAUCAGGACAUCCUAAUGGUGCA